rnacentral:rRNA from 1 species
UACGUAGGGACCAAGCGUUGUUCGGAUUUACUGGGCGUAAAGGGCGCGUAGGCGGCAAUUCAAGUCAUCUGUGAAAUCUCCGGGCUUAACCCGGAACGGUCAGAUGAUACUGCUUUGCUAGAGUGCGGAAGGGGCAAUCGGAAUUCUCGGUGUAGCGGUGAAAUGCGUAGAUAUCAGGAGGAACACCGGUGGCGAAGGCGGAUCUCUGGGCCUGUUCUGACGCUGAGGCGCGAAAGCUAGGGGAGCGAACAGG